UACGUAGGGGGCAAGCGUUGUCCGGAUUUAUUGGGCGUAAAGAGCGUGUAGGCGGCCAUACAGGUCCGUUGUGAAAACUGGAGGCUUAACCUCCAGACGUCGAUGGAAACCGUAUGGCUAGAGUCCGGAAGAGGAGAGUGGAAUUCCUGGUGUAGCGGUGAAAUGCGCAGAUAUCAGGAAGAACACCCGUGGCGAAGGCGGCUCGCUGGGACGGUACUGACGCUGAGACGCGAAAGCGUGGGGAGCGAACAGG
rnacentral:rRNA from 1 species